rnacentral:piRNA from 1 species
CACUGCUUUAGUUCUGGUGGCUUUUGGG